rnacentral:rRNA from 1 species
GAGGAAGUAAAAGUCGUAACAAGGUUUCCGUAGGUGAACCUGCGGAAGGAUCAUUACCUAGAGUUGUAGGCUUUGCCUGCUAUCUCUUACCCAUGUCUUUUGAGUACCUUACGUUUCCUCGGUGGGUUCGCCCACCGAUUGGACAAAUUUAAACCCUUUGCAGUUGAAAUCAGCGUCUGAAAAAACUUAAUAGUUACAACUUUCAACAACGGAUCUCUUGGUUCUGGCAUCGAUGAAGAACGCAGCGAAAUGCGAUAAGUAGUGUGAAUUGCAGAAUUCAGUGAAUCAUCGAAUCUUUGAACGCACAUUGCGCCCCUUGGUAUUCCAUGGGGCAUGCCUGUUCGAGCGUCAUUUGUACCUUCAAGCUCUGCUUGGUGUUGGGUGUUUGUCUCCUGUAGACUCGCCUUAAAACAAUUGGCAGCCGGCGUAUUGAUUUCGGAGCGCAGUACAUCUCGCGCUUUGCACUCAUAACGACGACAUCCAAAAGUACAUUUUUACACUCUUGACCUCGGAUCAGGUAGGGAUACCCGCUGAACUUAAGCAUAU